CAACUGACAAGGUAUCAACACACACCAAAGACAACUCUGCAACAUGGUGCACGUAGCAGGAUCCACUCUCUGGAUGCAUAUCUUGAUCCUUCUUGGCUGCAGCUUAAUGAGGCAAACUCAUUCUCACCCAAAUACACUCAUUGUUCUUAAAGAAGUAUCAUCAAAGCUCAGUGAAGCCUAUAAACAACAAAUCAACCCCAAGUGUCCACCAAUGAACCUCACUGGGAUAUCAAGCAAUAUCACCGACUCUGCUUGUGCCUUCAGCAAAUAUCUCGAAUGUCUCCUUAAGAUGGAUUAUGUCAGUCAAGACAUCAUGAAGGAAACCAACGAACUGAAACGUCAAUUCAAUUCCUGUUUCAAGACAUAUGGCUGUAGUAAUAAUACUUCAAUGUUAGAUAAAAGAAUAAAUGAUGGAAAUUUUUAUAAUAAAAAAUGUCUGGGUUUAGAUGUCCUUAGGAAUUUAGCAUCAUGGUUGAAAGUGAAUAAACAACACAAAUGUGUUGGAAAACACUGAAGCUAAAAUUCCUCAACGUUUUGUGCUAAAUUAUUUAGGUAAAUUAUUUAAUUUAUUAUUUAUUAUUGAUUUAUUCUAAACUGGAAUAUCCUUGUUUGAAUGCAAUAUGCCUAAUGCAAAGACAAAAUAAAUG
ensembl:lncRNA